rnacentral:rRNA from 1 species
UACGUAGGGGGCAAGCGUUGUCCGGAUUUACUGGGCGUAAAGAGCGUGUAGGCGGCCACGCAGGUCCGUUGUGAAACUGGAGGCUCAACCUCCAGCUGUCGACGGAAACCGUAUGGCUAGAGUCCGGAAGAGGAGAGUGGAAUUCCUGGUGUAGCGGUGAAAUGCGCAGAUAUCAGGAGGAACACCGAUGGCGAAGGCAGCUCGCUGGGACGGUACUGACGCUGAGGCGACGAAAGCGUGGGGAGCAAACAGG